rnacentral:misc_RNA from 1 species
AUGGAUGCACAGACACACACCUGAGCGCAAUGCCUUGAAAGCGAUGCUUUCGUGUCGAGUUCCGAGUGCACGAAGCAAGCGUAAAUGUGACGCUUGAGUGGCACCUGCUGCGCUGGCAGUCUUAGCCCGGAUCCUAGAAGCAUACAUAAUGAUGUUGCGUUCGGUCCGCGGCCCCGACACGCUCGAUCGCGAGAAGGAACCCCACGCCUAUUCAAACAGGUGUGCAUUCGCAUCGUCACGGUUUAACGCUGAAACAGUCGCAACUGGGCUUCCAUGACCCUGAGGCCGAGGAGGCGAUCCAAUUCUGAGCCUUUCCACAGGCGCGGUGGUCUCUGUUCACCGCCGUGACGCGAGCUGUAUUUCCAGCAGGCAUUGCACUGCGCCCUUUGCAAUCUUCUGCCUGGGCUACCCGCGAUUUGAGCCAAAAGCGUCGGAGAGUUGAGCCAGCCUUCCCCGAUUUCGAUGAGACCAAGCUCGUCGUCUUCCAUCCGAUGCCAGCUCGGCGCGUCAUUGACUCCACAGUUGAGGCAGAACCGUGUUUCCUGCCGUUUCCGCCAAAUAGAUGCGAUCUUAAAGGCGUCGAGUUCUGACGGUACACGCAGGCGUACAAGGAAUCGGGUACGGGUUGCAUCCGCUCGCACCGGCUGUUCGGUGAGCAGUCGCGGAAGGCGUAGAUGUUCAGGAACUAUUGAUGCUCGAAGCGCGCUCUCCAAUGAGACCCAGCCUGAGUGCGGCACAACCCGCUGUUGCCCCCGUGAGCGAUCGAGCGCACGUUCUGAAGGUGACGACGACGUUGUCACCGGCGAGCCCGUCGCCAUCGAAGGCGGUUUCCAUUCAAUAUGAUCUGGGGGCGGAAUCGGCGUCGGUACUCUCGUCAUAGGUGGUGACAACUCCGCACUGGUGGAAACCGGCGAUAUCUGAUUAGAUCUGAUUGAUUGUCGGGCAUCUGGCUGAGUCCACUCGAAAACGUCUCCUCCAUCGUGAACGGCAACGGCGGGCCGGAGCGGUCCGGCCUUCCACGACUGUUGCAUGGGGAACGAUGGUCGGGUGGCAGGCAGCCCGGCACCAUCCCUGCUGAGUGGAGCCGUCGCACUGCGGAACGUGUCACCCGUAUGGAUACCAGUCGCUACAUGUGACCCCUGAUGCCCGUUCCGAUAUCGUUCGCUGGGUGUGACGAUGGAUUUGCCUUCAGCAAACACGCUUCUCGAGGCCUGUGGUUCCGUCGAGUGCGACGCGAGUCCUCGGCCCGGGGGCGCGUCGUGCGCGGAAAAACCGCCCGGCAUCGAAGCUGUUGGUAUUCUAUCAUCAUCUAUGACAUGUACUCGAAGGGGGUUUCCAGCCAUGAUCAUCACUGGCUGUUCUCUGUUGGUGCCUGAACCCUUGCUCUCAAUCGAAAUUCGCGUCCCCAGAGCACUCGAAUACAGAUUUCUGUUGUCCAUGAAGUAAGCAAGCGUAUUUCCCUCCGAGUUUCUUGAAGGAGCAGCGUGGACUUUGUCGUGGCUUCUCAAGCUCGUCGCGUCUGUCGAGGCGUUAGUCUCAGUCUGGCAAAGCCCGGACCCGCGCCGUUCUCCCAGAGUCGCGACAAAAGCGUCGCACGAUAUGUUUUUACGGGAAGGACAACGGUUUUGCGGGCCUCGAGGCUGGACCAAGGCACCGAGGGUAGCGCCAGAGUUCGUAGAACCCACCCCAAGCAAAACAAGACCGACGGCUCGUCGUUUCUUGCAGGACGGUUGGACAGAGAAAUCUAAAUAACUUCUUGAAAGAUC